rnacentral:rRNA from 1 species
UACGAAGGGUGCAAGCGUUAAUCGGAAUUACUGGGCGUAAAGCGUGCGUAGGCGGUUUGUUAAGUCUGCUGUGAAAUCCCCGGGCUCAACCUGGGAAUGGCAGUGGAUACUGGCAAGCUAGAGUGUGUCAGAGGAUGGUGGAAUUCCCGGUGUAGCGGUGAAAUGCGUAGAGAUCGGGAGGAACACCGGAUGGCGAAGGCGAGCUCGG